ACGUUUAAGUAAAAAUUCGGUUCUAAUGAAGAGCAGUCAUUAGAAGUAAUGGGGAAAGUUUGGUGUAAGUCCAACACUGUCCCGCAACUGUGAUGAGGUUAGUAGAUAGCAAAUCUCUUAGUCAGAAUGCCCGCCGAUAAAAGUAAAAACGGA
rnacentral:ncRNA from 1 species